rfam:Caenorhabditis brenneri strain PB2801 C_brenneri-6.0.1_Cont19.23, whole genome shotgun sequence.
GAGCUCGUGGCCUAGUGGAUAGCGCUGUUGUUUUAGAAAAAUGAGUCGCGGGUUCAAACCCCACUGGGUUCA